CUGAGGUCCUGGACCUGACCUCAGUAUUAAGUAAAUAUAUUGACUUUAACAGAUGAAGAGCUGGAAUCAGGUCACCAGGUACCUGAAAUACUGCUGUGGUACUGAAUUACAUAGGAUCUCAUCCUAACAAGAAGGUCAAGCUGCUGCUCAGAACAUUACACUGGGUAUGAUCAGCAUGCUUGGAAAUAGAGGAAAAUUACCAGCUGGUUCAGUUCAGUCCUCCUAAAUCAUAACCAUGACAAAUGCCUGAAGCAAGUUAACAGCCUGAAGAGUAUUUUCACCUGAUUCUUUUUGCCAGAAGCAGCGGCAAGCAUAUUCUCCCAGGAAGCUGUGUAACACAACAUGCAAACAUUUUGGAUAGGAGCUGAAGAAACAUUUUCUAGUUGUCAAGCUACAGAGGGAGUUCAGGUGCUCGUUUAAAGAUUAUUGGCAACUUGAGGGCCCAGAUUUCUCCUCACCUGAUGAAGCCUAAUUACUUUAUAAGAGAGUAAUGGACUAAAUUAGCCUCUGGAGGUACCUAUCUCUCUUCAUUACCUCUGCAAGGAGUGUAAGGUGAAUACGCUCAACUGUCUCCUGGGUAUUCAGCAGAAUUUUCCAGAACCAGAGUCACAACUGAAACAAAUGAGAUGAAAUACUCAAAUCAUAAAAGAUCUCCUGUUUGCUGCCAUGACUGAGAUGACAAUGGAAGAAACUGAGAUGGGACCUAUUGCAGCUCCUAAACCCUGAGAUUAAAUGGCAUUAGAACCAAUUCCCAGCUCCCUUGGGGAUUUCCUUCAUGAAUAAAAUCU